rnacentral:lncRNA from 1 species
UUUUGGGGGCUCCGGGGCUUUACAGGAAGUGCUAAAUUUCUAACCUCUCUGUCUAUAUCCUCCAGUGACCACUUCAACAACUGAUGUCCCUUCAACAACCCCUGUGACCACUUCAACAACUGAUGUCCCUUCAACAACCCCUGUGACCACUUCAACAACUGAUGUCCCUUCAACAACCCCUGGUGAGUUUACAUUACACCCAAUAAAUAGCUGAUUUCAAUCCACUUCUCAAUUCUCUCUUACUGGAUU